rnacentral:rRNA from 1 species
AGAAUCAACGCUGGCGGCGUGCCUCAGACAUGCAAGUCGAACGAUUAAAGCUCUCUUCGGAGAGUGUAUAGAGUGGCGCACGGGUGAGUAACACGUAAGUAAUCUACCUUCGAGUGGGGAAUAACAUCGGGAAACCGAUGCUAAUACCGCAUAAUGCAGCGGCAUCGCAAGAUGACAGUUGUUAAAGGAUUUAUUUCGCUUGAAGAGGAGCUUGCGGCAGAUUAGCUGUGUAGUACGGCUUACCAAGGCUACGAUCUGUAUCCGGUCUAAGAGGACGGUCGGACACACUGACACUGAAUAACGGGUCAGACUCCUACGGGAGGCAGCAGUCGGAAUUUUGGGCAAUGGGCGAAAGCCUGACCCAGCAACGCCGCGUGAAGGAUGAAGUAUUUCGGUAUGUAAACUUCGAAAAGAAUAAGGAAAGAAUAAAUGAACGGUAACUAAUUUAAUAAGUCUCCGGACUAACGUACGUGCCAGCACGCCGACGUAA